rnacentral:tRNA from 1 species
GGUUGUGGCUCAGUGGUAGAGUGCUCACCUCACACGUGCAAGGCCCUAGGUUCGAUCCUUAACACCA